GGAAGAGUGGCAGAGCUGGUUUAAUGCACCGGUCUUGAAAACCGGCGUGGGUUACACCACCGGGGGUUCGAAUCCCUCCUCUUCCG
rnacentral:tRNA from 1 species